rnacentral:rRNA from 1 species
AUUGAACGCUGGCGGCAUGCUUUACACAUGCAAGUCGGACGGCAGCACAGAGAAGCUUGCUUCUUGGGUGGCGAGUGGCGAACGGGUGAGUAAUAUAUCGGAACGUACCGAGUAAUGGGGGAUAACUAAUCGAAAGAUUAGCUAAUACCGCAUAUUCUCUGAGGAGGAAAGCAGGGGACCUUCGGGCCUUGCGUUAUUCGAGCGGCCGAUAUCUGAUUAGCUAGUUGGUGGGGUAAAGGCCUACCAAGGCGACGAUCAGUAGCGGGUCUGAGAGGAUGAUCCGCCACACUGGGACUGAGACACGGCCCAGACUCCUACGGGAGGCAGCAGUGGGGAAUUUUGGACAAUGGGCGCAAGCCUGAUCCAGCCAUGCCGCGUGUCUGAAGAAGGCCUUCGGGUUGUAAAGGACUUUUGUCCGGGAAGAAAAGGCUGUUGCUAAUACCGACAGCUGAUGACGGUACCUGAAGAAUAAGCACCGGCUAACUACGUG